rnacentral:lncRNA from 1 species
GUUUUAAGUAGCAAUUCAAUAUCACCUCCUCUUUCAAAGCAGCUGAAAAAAAGAUCUUCUGUUAGUGAAGAUGGUAAUUAACAUAGCAAUCCACAUAAAAAUUGUCCAGUUUUAUUUUAUGUUUGCAUGGGCUUACAUGGCUGACCUGGAAGCUGUGUCUGGAAGAAUAUCAAAUAUGGGUUUUCUACACUGAUGGUUCAUCCGUUCUCUCUUAUUGGUUAUUUUAAGUGUUUUCUGUACAGCUUUAAAGUGAAAAUUGGAAAGAAAGACAAGAAAAUGAAGAUUUUUCUUUCGUUUCACAAGCCACCAACCAGUGUUUAAUGCAACAAGAACUGACGCUGUUUCACUUUGGAACGGAUCACCUCUCAAACAACUCCACUGAACUACUUUAAGAAAUGGACCUCUGACUGCUGAAAGUUGCUAAAUCCUGAUGCACCCAUAUAACAAAUGACGUAGCUGCAUGUUGUCUGCUGACUAUAUCUACAUAUUCAUACUGGAGCACAGAAUUAACACACUGAAGAUGUUAAUCAGCUAUACAAGUGAUUAGACCUUUCUGGAAUUUUAAGAAGGCUGUAUUAUGCAGAUAGGAGGACUACACUGUUGUGCAGUCAAACCUCAGGAAAUGCCAAAGAAAAGGCUUCUGGUAUAACUGUGACUGAGUGAGAAAACAUAUGGAGAGUCUACUGUGCAUGCCAGGUACUAGGCUCUUGGGCUAGAAAGCAAGUUUGAGUUCAGCAUGUUCCCAGACCUACACAUGUUCCCACACGCCUGUCUUGUCCAUCAGACACUGAAAUCAUGUAAGAGCUCCCAAAAAGAAAAGGUGGAGCAUGGAGGAAGACUACGAAAGCACUGAGAGGCCCUGCUCGUUCAUGUUCCAGACUUCCUCUGCGACCUCCAGCACAUCGCUUGAGCCCCAAACCCUCCAAGGUCUUUACACACUUUUACCCUUAUGGAACUCCAGUUCUGGUUCACCCAUCAGGUAAACUAAGCUGAUAUUUUGGAAACC